rnacentral:rRNA from 1 species
GAUCCUGCUCAGGAUGAACGCUAGCUACAGGCUUAACACAUGCAAGUCGAGGGGCAGCAUGGUCUUAGCUUGCUAAGACUGAUGGCGACCGGCGCACGGGUGAGUAACACGUAUCCAACCUGCCGUCUACUCUUGGACAGCCUUCUGAAAGGAAGAUUAAUACAAGAUGGCAUCAUGAGUCCGCAUGUUCACAUGAUUAAAGGUAAUUCCGGUAGACGAUGGGG